CUGACACAGGGAGGUAGUGACAAUAAAUAACAUCGCAGGGCUUUUUAAAGUCUUGCGUUAGGAAUGAGAACAAUUUAAACCCCUUAUCGAGGAUCAAUUGGAGGGCAAGUCUGGUGCCAGCAGCCGCGGUAAUUCCAGCUCCAAUAGCGUAUACUAAAGUUGUUGCAGUUAAAAAGCUCGUAGUUGAAUUUCUGGAUGCGAAAGAUGGUCGGCACCUCACGGUGUCUGUACUUUUCAUUCGCGUCCAUCCUCGGGAGGAACGUGUGGGGCUUUAAGUAGUUCUGCUCGGGAAUCUCGUCAUUUACUGUGAGCAAAAUAGAGUGUUCAAAGCAGGCUUAUGCCGUUGAAUAUAUUAGCAUGGAAUAAUAAGAUACGACUUUGGUCUAUUUUGUUGGUUUGCAUUUCCAAAGUAAUGAUUAAUAGGGAUAGUUGGGGGUAUUCGUAUUCAAUUGUCAGAGGUGAAAUUCUUGGAUUUAUGGAAGACGAACUACUGCGAAAGCA
rnacentral:rRNA from 1 species